GGAGGAUAACCCUAUCCUUAUCGCUCUUCUCGUCCGACUGGUCUUUAUUGGGACACGUUCUCUCGCAUAAGAGUUUCCUCUUCUGUAGAAUGUGUCUCAGUGAAGACCAGGAGAACAAUAAGAUCGAUACGAAGACGAACAAGAUGAGUAACCUAGAGCCAGGUGUUUCGAUUCCUCCUCCUGAAUUUGGGUUGAUUUAAAUUAAUAUAUUUUAUUUUUUUUUAAAAAGGAAGAGUAACAAUUAUGAAUUGGAUUCUAAAAUGUUCACAAUCUCAUACUUUAUUUAGGAUAAUGCUGAAUACUCCAAGAGUCCUACAAUUGCAUAAAAGUUUUGGUAUAACUCUUCUUUCCUUAACAUUUGCAGAUUAUUUGGGCUUCUUGAUAUUCACUUUUGAUACUUUAGAAUUCCAUUCUGAAUGGUUUUGUUAUGCCAAAGCUUGGUAUUAUUUUGGAUAAAAUGAAAGAUAAAAGAUAUUGAUGGAUCUAACGGAACUUCCAUCAAUACAUGUGUGGAUGGCCCCUAAACGGAAUCUGCUCCGCUUAUAAUGGAUAGAGGUCAUCGAGAUGCUGUGCUUAUAGCUUUCAACUGGUGGCAAUCUAUUGGUUUCAUGCGGAGUUGAUUAGUGCUAGUUGUUUAAUUAGGUCUCAGCCAGUCCAGAGUUUUCAGUGGGGGAACUGACUCUGUAAUAUCUGUCCGGUUUAAUUGCUACAAACAUCUUCGUAAGGUUUACACUUUACACUACCAGGAAGAAAAAAAAACUAUCCGUGCUUUUUCCCCAUGUUUCUAAGUCUGGAGAUUGUCAAAAGAUUAAAACAUGGAACAUUGUGGAUAUUGUGAAAUACAGAGACAGGCACUUGCCGAGCCAUGAACGAUGCGAAGAGGAUCAUCAAAGAAGUACUGUAUAAUGAGUUUAGUUUUUGUGGGUUUGUGAUGGGAGGUUGUGUUGGUGUAGUAGGAUAAUGAAACCUGUUUCUCUACUAUAAGCCUCUCUCUACUAUAGAAGUUAUGCUAAUUUUGGGAUUUUUCUAUUCACUACUAUCACGUUAGUGGAUUAUAUUUUUUUUGGAUCUCAUAAACCUGUUCUUCAAAGCUAUAUUAUAUGUUGACAUCAAAUAUAUACUAUAAGACGAUGAUGCUACUUCCAGCAGAUGGAUAUGUUAUAUGUUAUGAUGAUGCUACUUCCAGUAGAUGGAUAAGAUAAGACAUGAGAUUUGGUAGUAGACAACGAGUGUAUGUCAGAGUUUAGAAAAUGAACAUUAAGAAAGAUAAAACGAGAUCUUCACUUGAAGUUUAGGG